AACUUUUGAAGAUGUAGUGGAUGGAGGCCAGGGAUGCUGCUGGACCUCCAGCACUCAGAACAGCACCCAUACUGAAGAAUCAACUGGCUCUAAACAUUAAGAGCAGUACAGCUGAGAAACCCUGCCUUAGUUCAAGCUCCCCCAGAUGCUGAGGGACACAGAUGAUUGAAAUGACUGCUGGGCUGCCUCAGAAGCAGGUACUCCCUGUGAAAACAAAAGAAAAAGAAGAACAAAAACUGCCCGUUCUCCAAGGAGGGACAGAUGAGUCUGAACUCCGCCCCCCCCACCCCGGGG